GGGAGAGUUCUCUUUUCUUCUUAACUGUCUAUCACCCUGAAAUCGGUUUGUCCGGAGCUAGGGUUCUAUGGCUGGCAGAGCCUCGCACCUUUGCGAGGUCCGGUGCGCCCCCGACGACCCUUGAAAAUCCGCGGGAAGGAAUAGUUUUCACGCUAGGUCGUACUCAUAACCGCAGCAGGUCUCCAAGGUGAACAGCCUCUAGUUGAUAGAA
rnacentral:rRNA from 13 species